UUACCAAAACGUUUUGAUGACAUGGGAUAAUUACACUGCUGACUGCUAGACUAACUUACCAAAACGUUUUGAUGACAUGGGAUAAUUACACUGCUGACUGCUAGACUAACUUACCAAAACGUUUUGAUGACAUGGGGUAAUUGCACUGCUGACUGCUAGACUAACUUACCAAAACGUUUUGAUGACAUGGGGUAAUUGCACUGCUGACUGCUAGACUAACUUACCAAAACGUUUUGAUGACAUGGGGUAAUUACACUGCUGACUGCUAGACUAACUUACCAAAACGUUUUGAUGACAUGGGGUAAUUGCACUGCUGACUGCUAGACUAACUUACCAAAACGUUUUGAUGACAUGGGGUAAUUGCACUGCUGACUGCUAGACUAACUUACCAAAACGUUUUGAUGACAUGGGGUAAUUACACUGCUGACUGCUAGACUAACUUACCAAAACGUUUUGAUGACAUGGGGUAAUUACACUGCUGACUGCUAGACUAACUUACCAAAACGUUUUGAUGACAUGGGGUAAUUGCACUGCUGACUGCUAGACUAACUUACCAAAACGUUUUGAUGACAUGGGGUAAUUGAGUUACUAUCAGUGAGUGACAUAAGAAGAGAAAAAGCGCUGAUCCACAACCAAAUUUCGAAAUGAGAGCCCAACUGAGUUCCCCAAAAACAUUGAUCCAAGGGCCGUCAAAAGGGUUCCGCAUUCCUUUGGCCCGCAAGCUGCCAGUUGCCCAUCCCCGAUAUACUUAUAUUCACACAUAAAAUGGUCCGACCAGGUGAUGUGCCCUUGUACGGAAGGUCACUCGAUGCUGUCAGUUCCCUUUUCCUCUCCGGAUAUUCCCAGCAUUCUAUGGGCCAGCGGAACGCAGCGCAGAGAGCAGCCGGGAACUCUGGGAACCAGGAGCAGGAAGCUAGCACCGCUCCAGUUGUUCCUUGGUUGGGCCAAUCGGAGCAAAGCAGAGCCGGGGAGGAGAGGUGGCGGAGAGGGCUUGAUGCUGGGGCUAGGUGGGAGUACUCGAGGGCUGCAAUUGUUACUGGAGCCACAUCUCCCUCUGCUGAUUAUUGAUUCACACACCUCAGACCUAACCCACAAUGACCCACAUGUAUUUUUUUUGUAGUUUCUUUAUAGUUUGUAAACAAUGAAUUCCUCUACUGGGACAAUAAAAUAUUUAAUUGACUUUUAAAUGA